CUGAGAGCAAUGAUAUAGACGUAAGAGAGGCAGAGAGCUUGGACAAAUUGAUAAGAAGUCUUGAGGCAUGUAGUACAGACACCCAGCUCAAGUAUCAGAAAGCAAACUAUUGUCACUUUUAUCUGAGCGCCAACAGAUUCCGCAGCACUGCCCAUGGGUACAUGGAUAACAGUAUAAUGGAGAACCAAUACGACAACAUUUUAUAGAAAAAAAACAGGGGGAAUUGAGGGCCCUAUUCCCGUGGGAACUUACAUUCUAGAUGAACAUAAUCAAAUUACCAAUCAACUAUAAAGAUAUUAUCCUAAGUGGUUUUGCUCCAUCUCAUCUCUGUGAAGAGACGAAACUUCAAGAAAGUUUUCCUCAUCCUAUACAGUCUUCAAGAGGAUUUUCAUUCUUUCCUGAUAAGAUGGAGCUUUCUUCACGGAUGAUUCUUCAAUUCAAAGUUCUUCUCUUCAUGGUCGUCUGCUGUCUUCUCGUCUGGAACUACUUCUUCAUUAUGGACUUUUUGUUUCCUUCUACAGUUACAAAGAAAGAGGAUGUCUUACUGUAUAUUGGACAGUUUAUAGGAUUCAUUAGUAACCUGAUUGGCUAUGUGGUUUUAG